UAGUGGCGAACGGGUGAGUAACACGUGGGCAAUCUGCCCUUCACUCUGGGACAAGCCCUGGAAACGGGGUCUAAUACCGGAUAAUACUUUUCUCCGCAUGGGGGAAGGUUGAAAGCUCCGGCGGUGAAGGAUGAGCCCGCGGCCUAUCAGCUUGUUGGUGGGGUGAUGGCCUACCAAGGCGACGACGGGUAGCCGGCCUGAGAGGGCGACCGGCCACACUGGGACUGAGACACGGCCCAGACUCCUACGGGAGGCAGCAGUGGGGAAUAUUGCACAAUGGGCGAAAGCCUGAUGCAGCGACGCCGCGUGAGGGAUGACGGCCUUCGGGUUGUAAACCUCUUUCAGCAGGGAAGAAGCGAAAGUGACGGUACCUGCAGAAGAAGCGCCGGCUAACUACGUGCCAGCAGCCGCGGUAAUACGUAGGGCGCAAGCGUUGUCCGGAAUUAUUGGGCGUAAAGAGCUCGUAGGCGGCUUGUCACGUCGGAUGUGAAAGCCCGGGGCUUAACCCCGGGUCUGCAUUCGAUACGGGCAGGCUAGAGUGUGGUAGGGGAGAUCGGAUUCCU
rnacentral:rRNA from 2 species